rnacentral:rRNA from 1 species
UACGUGAAACCGUUCAGGGGUAAACGGGAGAAAUCCUGAAUUCGAAGGGGAUUAUUCAAUUUCGGUCCGGCUAUGUACAGGCCACCUGGCCCCGCCAGAUGUCGCUGGUCGCCCACGGCGAUUCAUUUUGCUUGUGGUGUCGUUCCUGGCGGUCACUCGGUGGGGUGGUGUUUGCUCUGACACCGGCGAUGUGCACUUCCUCCCUUGUAGAAACGUCGCGACCCGUUGGGUGCCGGUCUAAGGCCCGGGAUGGCAGACCAUGUGUCCUGUGGGGAUAACUCACAGGCGUGUGGACUCCUGGUGACCCGGCCGGCUGCUCGACGGUAUGACCAGAGGAGUCGAUCCGCUGAAUUGUGAAACAUUGUGAUUGUGUAGCGUCCGGCCCGGCGCCAACACGUGCUUGGAUUGUGGUGUAAACCGGGGGUGUCCGUGCGAAGCCACGGCCCCGGCCUUGUUGCGUUGUUGGUCUGUUGGUGUCCUCGGACUGGAUCAG